AUUGAACGCUGGCCGCAGGCCUAACACAUGCAAGUCGAGCGGAUGAAGGGAUCUUGCUCCUGGAUUCAGCGGCGGACGGGUGAGUAAUGCCUAGGAAUCUGCCUGGUAGUGGGGGAUAACGUCCGGAAACGGGCGCUAAUACCGCAUACGUCCUGAGGGAGAAAGUGGGGGAUCUUCGGACCUCACGCUCUCAGAUGAUCCUAGGUCGGAUUAGCUAGUUGGUGGGGUAAAGGCCUACCAAGGCGACGAUCCGUAACUGGUCUGAGAGGAUGAUCAGUCACACUGGAACUGAGACACGGUCCAGACUCCUACGGGAGGCAGCAGUGGGGAAUAUUGGACAAUGGGCGAAAGCCUGAUCCAGCCAUGCCGCGUGUGUGAAGAAGGUCUUCGGAUUGUAAAGCACUUUAAGUUGGGAGGAAGGGCAGUAAGUUAAUACCUUGCUGUUUUGACGUUACCAACAGAAUAAGCACCGGCUAACUUCGUG
rnacentral:rRNA from 1 species